GAAGGGCUGUGGAUCAGUGAUAGAACAUCUGCUUUGUAUGCAGAAGGUCUCAAGUUCAAUCCUCAGUAUCUUUA
rnacentral:tRNA from 1 species